rnacentral:tRNA from 1 species
AAUGAAUUGCCUGAUAAAAGGGUUAUCUUGAUAGGGUAAAUUAUGUAGGAUUCUACAUUCAUUG